rnacentral:rRNA from 1 species
GACGAACGCUGGCGGCGUGCUUAACACAUGCAAGUCGAACGGAAAGGCCCUGCUUGCCGGGUACUCGAGUGGCGAACGGGUGAGUAACACGUGGGUGAUCUGCCCUUCACUUCGGGAUAAGCCUGGGAAACUGGGUCUAAUACCGGAUAGGAGCCAUUUUUAGUGUGAUGGUUGGAAAGUUUUUUCGGUGUAGGAUGAGCUCGCGGCCUAUCAGCUUGUUGGUGGGGUAAUGGCCUACCAAGGCGGCGACGGGUAGCCGGCCUGAGAGGGUGGACGGCCACAUUGGGACUGAGAUACGGCCCAGACUCCUACGGGAGGCAGCAGUGGGGAAUAGUGCACAAUGGGCGCAAGCCUGAUGCAGCGACGCCGCGUGGGGGAGGACGGCCUUCGGGUUGUAAACUCCUUUCGCUAGGGACGAAGCUUUUUGUGACGGUACCUAGAGAAGAAGCACCGGCUAACUACGUG